GAGUUUGAUCGUGGCUCAGGAUGAACGCUAGCUACAGGCUUAACACAUGCAAGUCGCGGGGCAGCAUUCACUUAGCUUGCUAAGUGAGAUGGCGACCGGCGCACGGGUGAGUAACGCGUAUCCAACCUGCCCUUGUCCACGGGAUAACCCGGUGAAAACCGGCCUAAUACCGUAUGAGGUCACAAGCGGACAUCCAACUGUGACGAAAGGUUUUGCGGACAAGGAUGGGGAUGCGUCCGAUUAGCUUGACGGCGGGUAACGGCCCACCGUGGCUACGAUCGGUAGGGGUUCUGAGAGGAAGGUCCCCCCACAUUGGAACUGAGACACGGUCCAAACUCCUACGGGAGCAGCAGUGAGGAAUAUUGGUCAAUGGACGGGAGUCUGAACCAGCCAAGUAGCGUGCAGGAUGACG
rnacentral:rRNA from 1 species